UACAGCAGGCCAACCUCACCAUGGCACAUUUCACUGACUUUGACUUAUUAAAGUGUGAAGUAUGUUUAAAAUGUUGCUUAAAAUACGCUUAUUUGAAAGAAAAUGCCUCUAUUCAAGACCACGCAGCUGAUUUCUUUAAAAGAUAGACAGGAACAUGGGCAGGAUGUUUAUACAGCAAAAUGUAAACAUUUUCCCUGGCCUUCUUUAAAUAAAAAAUCAAGCAAAAAGCCCCGCUAGAUCAGCUCAUACUCAAUCUGAUGCAUUAUGUCCGUUUUAGACAGCUCCUUGUGUAUGGAUAGGACUUUUCAACGUAAAUGCAGAAAGGGAUUUCAAUCAUGUAUAAUUAUUAUGUUCACACAGGAGAACUGAGGGGAAGAGCGCUCUGAGCCUAGCCGAACACUGAGCACUGAAACUCGGCUGAGGACUUUAGAUCGACGCCCACCAAACUCUCUCCCCUCAGAAUGGUGCUCGAAUCAAGCCCUCUGUGAUGGAGAGAAGGUUUUCCAGUGAUGGCAACAGUUCCUAUGACAACCAGACCUCCACCGGGGGAUUGCGUCUGUCAGACAGUGCUAAUGAUAAUUGAGAGGCUGGAGUGGGCAGGCGUGUGGGUUUGGCCACAGGAAGACAUGAAUUCCUCAGAGAACAGAGGGUGUCAGGGCCCAGAACACGACUUGGGGGGGAGAGACAUACUGGACCUUGUAACGUCUAAUAAUCCUCCGAGUUGACCCCUGACCCCGGGCCUGUGUUUGUAUCAGGUCAUCGACGUGAGAAAUCGGAAUGAGUCACUCCAGCUGUGUGUUUACCUUCUGGAGUCACGCAAGGAAGGAAAUAAGGCACGGUCUUCUAAAAGUGGCGGUGUGAGAGAGAAUAGCAGCAGUAUUAGAUCAGAGCCCUGAUUCAUCUCACUGUGACUGGCCUCUUGUCCCGUUACACUGGGUUUAUUUAGCCUAUUCACUACUGUAGGGAGACUAGCUACAGAUCAGCUAAAACAGGGAGUCAGUCUACAAUAUAGCUGUAUGAAAACAUAAGGUAUGAGAUUAAUAGUGUAAUUCUGUAAUUGAAGUCUGAUUCACUCAUUGAGUGAAAUGAUCCGUGUACUGCAGUAUGAGGGUACAGCUUGUUUUUGCUAUCACUGUGUAAUAUGUUGCUAAUAGUCCGAUCGUGUGUUAUUUUUGUCAUAAUAUUCUGCUGAGUGUGUUGCAGUUGUUCUAGUGUUUUGCCCAAUGAAAUUAGGAGAGAUUCAGUCAUUUCCUUUCUGUCUCAUGCAACAAUCAUAAAUGAUAUGUGAAUGUGAUUUUUCUGUGUAAUAAUAAUUUAUUGCAAUACAUUUCUGACUCUCCCGGAUACAGAUUAUAUCUGGAAGAUCCCUUGUAAUACGCUUUAGAGGAGAAAUCGCUGCAUUCCCAAAUACAUAGUUUUUAUCUUGAACAUGAAACUGGAAUGAGUAUGGAACUGUGGCCAACGCCUGUGAUUAAAAUACAAUGUCCGGGCCUACCAUCACGCUGUAUGUAGCCUUCCACACCGUGGGCUUGUGUGAUCGCACAAUUGUUGUUUUUGAACAAGUGCCCCUGUUAGUUUUACUCUGUAAAUAAAGAUGUGCUCCGAGCUGACAAUUCA